GCUUAUUAUAGUUUUAUAUUUCACUGAAGAAUAAAUUUUUACUACAGUAGGUACUAUAUAAAGCAUGAUAUACGGACUAUUAUUGACAUCAGUCAUAAUCAUAUUAUGGGGACCUUGUUUGAAAAAAGGAUUGUGGGCUAAACCAGGCCCCGUUUAUGCGAAAGAUAGAAAGAACCGACUAUUUCGAAUUACCCCCACGGGUGAAUGUUGCAGGACCUAUCCUAAUCACAAAUAAAUUUUAUAAAUAAAUGAAAAA